UUCUCAACUUGAAGAACCAUAAAAGAAAAGCUAUAUAUAUAAUUGCUUCAAACAUUUCCAUUCAUGCAUGUUAUGACCAUUAUUGUUUAAGGAAGAAGAAGAAGAAGAAGAAGAAAACAUGAUGGGCAAAGGAGGUUGUGUGGAUGUACAAACAACAUUGUAUGGUUCCCCUGUUCCUUUUAUCGGCCUCUACAUCGCAGCUGCAACAUGGGUGUAAUCUUUGCCUUCACAAUAGAACACAUCAUCAUCAUGGUUUGCAUCUUAGUAUUGCUUUUGUUCAUGUGGUCAUCUGCUAUUGGGAUUAGAAGCC